rnacentral:rRNA from 1 species
UACAGAGGGGGGCAAGCGUUGUUCGGAAUUACUGGGCGUAAAGGGCGCGUAGGCGGCCUGUUAAGUCGAACGUGAAAUCCCUGGGCUCAACCCAGGAACUGCGUCCGAUACUGGCAGGCUUGAAUUCGGGAGAGGGAUGCGGAAUUCCAGGUGUAGCGGUGAAAUGCGUAGAUAUCUGGAGGAACACCGGUGGCGAAGGCGGCAUCCUGGACCGAUAUUGACGCUGAGGCGCGAAAGCCAGGGGAGCAAACGGG